rnacentral:lncRNA from 1 species
UGGCAAUAAAAGGGCAGUGGUGUCUGGAAACUUCAGGAAGUUCUUCUACUCAAUCCAUGUGGAUGGCACAUUGGGGAUAGUGAUCUGGCAUCAGGAGCCAUAUGAGGCAGGACAGCACUUGAAAUACCCUUGAACCUUUUGACUCUUGCUGCAACAGUGUUCACAUUCUACCUUCUACCCGACUUCCAUAUGUGAAUCUGUUUUCCCCACUAACUGCAUGUGCCUGAAGAUCAGAUCUGGGUUCUUUGUGUAAUGCCUGCUGCUCUGAGCACAGUACACUUCACAGAGCAAGUACUUAAGCAGAUCCAUGUGGAAUUAAAUCCAUAUCUCAGAUCUUUCUUUUAACUUAUCCUGGGCGAGGUGCGCAGUCACAGAGAGAAUAAGACAGGCACCAAUACUGCACGAGUGGUCAGUGUACUCAAAUGUGGCAAGAAUGGGGUGCCAGACAUGCUCGGCAGAAGGUGAAACCAGCGGCAGGAGGAGGGAUGUGCAGGAGUGCCUAACAGAAGUCUCAUGGUAAAAUUGUUCACCUUGCUUUUAUCUUGGGGUAGAUGCUUAUUCCAGAGAUUCAUGGGAACAGAGUGAAAUCCCAAGACCCACAUGGGUUGGGAGGUCUGCUCUGUCACAUAGGAACUACAUUCAAGGCUCUGUGGUAGAUUCUGGGGCUCAUACAUAGUCCUUGCCCCUAAGGAUCUCAGAGUUCAGGAGGGAGAAGCAGACAAGUAAACAGUGGAUGUGUAUAAUAAGACGUAGAGUGUACAAGGUAGAAUAAGCCCUCUAAAACACACCUUUUGGUGAAACGAGGACAUUAGUGGCAAUCUAAAUGAUUGCUGAGUGGAAAGGGCAUACUAGCCAGAAGGGACCUCAUUGAUAAAGAAAAGGAGGUAAACUACUACCCUGGCUGUUGGGCAGGGACAGCGAGGAGUUGAGGACCCCAAAGCAUGAGUGAUGGGUAUUGGCACAAGGCUGGAAAAGUAAAAAGACAAAUUCAUGGAGGUCUUUGCCUGCCUCCCUCAGGGAGGAGUCAGGGUCCCUGACCACCCUUCUUCUGGAUCUGCAAUGAUUCAUACAUGAAUUUUUAAAAGAUCACUGCUGCAUGCCAGAAACUAUUGUAAACUACUGGAGGGAGGUACCAUUAUUAUUCCCACUUUAUAGCUGAAAAAAUAGAGGCUUGGAAUGAUUUAGGAAACUCCUCCAAAGUCACACAGCUAAGAACUGAUGUAAUUGGAUCCCUGAGAAACACAGUUAUUUAAGAGUUGGACAGCUGACUAGGAACUGGGGAAUAAUACUGGAAGAAGGAGGCCAGAGACAUUAGUGGACAAUAAGAGAGUUUGAGGAGAGAUUAAAGGCUGAAAGAUGACAAAGGAAAAUAAUUAAUUUUGAAGUUUCAUUUACCUUUUUAAGACCUUUUUCAGUGAUAUUAUCAUCUGGACAAGCCAGGUGGCAGAGGUUUGAAGAGUGACUGGGAGGUGAGUAAGUUGGUUGAUCAGGCUAUUCUUUUGAGGAGUUUGGCUAUAAAGGGCAGGAGAGAGAUGGAGAAAUAACCAGAAGCAGACACAAAGCAUGGAGAGCAUUUCCAAAUGGGUAAUAUAGAUAUUAUGGGCUAUGGGGGAAGAACGCAGUAGAGAUGGAAAGAAUGAAAUUACAGGAGAGAAAGAAAAGUGUUGCUUGUGAAAAAGAUGAAGAACACAAGUGCCUUGAGAGGUGGCAGCCAGGGUCUUGGAAACUGGUUAUAAUUUGGAAUAGCCACUUCAAGAAAUAGCAGAGGAAGCUGGCCAGGAUCAUGUAAAAGGAUUGCAGGCUUUUGGGCUUUUGAAAAUUUAAAUGAUAAAUCUCUCAGGGACUCUGUGUGUGUGUGUGUGUGUGUGUGUGUGUGUGUGUGUGUGUAAGUGCAUCUGUGUUUACACAGAAUACUUAGCAUUCUGUAUGUGGAAACUAAAAGUUCAUGAAUGAGAUUGAGCCAAAGUGGAAAGCAGGACAGAAGGACCCUAAGGAUUCUGGCUGAAGUGAUGCUAUGGGGAUGCUGAGAGGAGAGAAUGAAAGAGCCAUGGGGAAGGUUAUGGUCAGUGAGAAGGGAGGGGAGGAGACACUGAGAUCUCAGAUUGAAGAGCAUUGGAAUUGAGGGGGUGAGAUGGCUGAGACCCCAGGACUGUAUUCAGAGACUUCUUGAUGGAGCAACUCCAGGUGAUGAUGGGGCCUAAGAGGGGUUCAUAAGAGUGGGCAGCUGUGUGGAGUGGAGGUGGAGAUUGUUGGGUUGAGGAUGUGAAAAGCUCUGCAGGCAGGUGAUAGAGGUGUCACCCACAAGAUGGGUGGUCAAUGUCCAGGAUGACAGCACCACUUGCAGUAAAGAAUUAUGAUGUGGAGACAAUGCAUUCCAUGAAUGGGUCUCAGGGGAUGUGGGCUUGGGGAAGUGUGUAAAUGACAUAACAGCAGCAAGAUGAGUGGCUUGGCUGGGUGACACAGACCUCAAGGAAGAGAGGUCAUUCCAUGAAGGUGAAAGGCUAAUGACCUGGAGGUGGUAAAUGGAGAACUAGGGACAUUCUGGAGCUAUUUCCCCAUUCUAGCUCUUGCUUCAUAUCAACUUAGAUAUCUAUCUCUUGAUUUUGCAAGUUGGAGGACACUCUAAAUAUCCCCAAAAGGACCAGCCUUAUGCUGGUGCUCCACCCACCCUCCACCUUCCCCCAUUUUCCACCUCCAUACCUAUCUUCCCACCAAGGGUCACUUUCUUUGAGAAAGAUAACAAAUGCAGAUUUUCCAGUACAAGUAUCUCCAAAGAAGGCUAAUAUUUUAAGCUAUUGUUGACUAUGAACUAGGGCUUGAUCACUGUCCACUCAGUUAGACAACAAGAAAACCUGAGAGAUGAGAAAAUGAAUGAGAUUUUCCAGAGGGGCUCCAACAAGAAAUAGUCAGGUACAGGGCACCUUCCGCUGGCCUGCUCCAGUGAUGCAAUCUGUAAAUGGGAAUUGUGACCCUGCCGUGUGCACAGGCUAUGGUGAGCUCCCAUGGAAAACUCAGGGGCACUGGACACAUAGGUGACCCUGAGCCUGAGAUAGAUGCUCAGGGUCCUGGUGACAGUAUAGAGCAGAGACCUGGUUUCCUGUGAAUACAGUCUUUGUGCUGUUUCCACCCUUUCUCACAUCUCUAUCGAACUUUUUAAAAAAUAAGACCGGGAGUUCCCAUUGCGGCUCAGCAGUAACCUGACUAAUACCCAUGAGGAUGCAGAUUCAAUCCCUGGCUCACUCAGUAGAUGAAGGAUCCAUCGUUGCCAUGAGCUGUGAUGUAGGUUGCAGACAUGGCUUGGAUCUUGCAUUGCUGUGGCUGUGGUAUAGGCUGACAGCUGCAGUUUCAAUUUACCCCCUAGCCUGGGAACUUCCACAUACCACAGGUGUGGCC